rnacentral:lncRNA from 11 species
AGACUUUAAAGUGCUGUUAAUGUAACUGAGUUGAAAAUCUAACGUAAAUGGCCCAUGCUCACCAUCUUCCAACCUUUCUUCUUGGGAGAUGUGGGUGCAGGUUUAUGCCUUGAUGCAUUGUUUGGCAUCGGGAACUGCUUUUCUCCUGAUAGCAACCAGUAAGUAGGAGCCUUAUAACUACUCUAGAUGGCACUGUUGUAUUUAUUUUAAUUUCCACCUGGGCUGAGAAAGAACCGGUUUUUGAAAGCUUAAUGAGUUUCCUUUUGAAAACAAACAUGCUGUUUCAACAGAGGGAGAAAGAAAGAACCAAAUCUUCACUUUUCUCCAUUUUAGAAACCAAGAGACAAGUACUGAAAGAUGAUGGAAAAUGUACUUAUUACAUUUGCAGUCCCUGUGAUCACUUGGGAAAUAAUAGACAACCUUCAAAACAGGUGUAUCUCAAGAGUAGACAUUGCAAAAGAGGAUCAGUCCUGUUUUCUACUCAAAAGUGGUGGGUAGAAGCUGGGCUGAAUGGCCGGACGCUCACCCCAACUCGGGCUUUGAACUGACAACCUUCCAGUUGGCAAGAUUUACUGUAGCUGACAGCUUGGUGAUUAGUCCACUGAGCUAAAGCCCCAGCAUACCGAAUUUCCUUUUAUUAAUUUCAGUCUAGUUUUCUAGUUUAUGGUUCUUUUGUGUUCUGUUCCUAUCUUCCAAUGUAUUAGUCACCCUUCCCAGUUUUGUACUGGCAAAUUUAAUAAACAUUCCCACUACCCCAUCAUUUAGUAAAAAUAUUGAAGUGUGUCUGUCCAGCAUUCCACUUGAGACCUCCUUUCAGUCUGAAGGACAACUGUUUGAGCAUGAUUUUAAAACCAAUUAUGGAUUCGUUUGAUGUUUCCAUCUAUUCCAUAUUCAAUCAGUUUGCUAAUCAAAAUAAUUUAAGGAUAUUAUUCAAUACCUUGCUGAAUUCCAGAUAAAUUACAUCCACAGCAUUCCCACCAUCUAUUAAACUACUGACCCAAUCAAAAAGACAUGUGUUCUUGAGAAACCCAUGCUGGCUCCUACUAAUCUUUACAUUUGUCAUUGAGAUAGUUGCAAACAGAUUCCUGUAUAAUCUGU